rnacentral:rRNA from 1 species
CGUCUCAGUUCGGACUGUGGUCUGCAACUCGACCACACGAAGCUGGAAUCGCUAGUAAUCGCGAAUCAGCAUGUCGCGGUGAAUACGUUCCCGGGUCUUGUACACACCGCCCGUCACACCACCCGAGUCGUCUGCACCCGAAGUCGCUGGCCCAACCCUUGUGGAGGGAGGCGCCGAAGGUGUGGAGGGUAAGGGGGGUGAAGUCGUAACAAGGUACC